rnacentral:rRNA from 1 species
GUGAGGAAUAUUGGUCAAUGGACGCGAGUCUGAACCAGCCAAGUAGCGUGAAGGAUGACUGCCCUAUGGGUUGUAAACUUCUUUUAUAAGGGAAUAAAGUGAGGGACGUGUCCCUUUUUGUAUGUACCUUAUGAAUAAGGAUCGGCUAACUCCGUGCCAGCAGCCGCGGUAAUACGGAGGAUCCAAGCGUUAUCCGGAUUUAUUGGGUUUAAAGGGAGCGUAGGUUGACAUAUAAGUCAGCUGUGAAAGUUUACGGCUCAACCGUGAAAUUGCAGUUGAUACUGUAUGUCUUGAGUGUACAAGAGGUGGGCGGAAUUCGUGGUGUAGCGGUGAAAUGCUUAGAUAUCACGAAGAACUCCAAUUGCGAAGGCAGCUCACUGGGGUACAACUGACACUGAGGCUCGAAAGUGUGGGUAUCAAACAGGAUUAGAAACCCGAGUAGUCC